CCUUUUUUUUUUCCCUGCAGGAUAUUGAAUUUUGCAGCCAGCCUGCUGGAUCGCAUUUGUUUUUGGAUUGAUUGCAUUCAUCUUUCAGAACAGCUUCUCUGCUCCUUUGACAGACAGUUGUGGGGGUCAGCUACGGUGAAAAAGAACCUGACAACAGCAGGCCUUCUCUGUUUGUCUUCUUAGAAUGCUACAGUAACAUCAAUCCGUCUAGAGGUCUGACUGAAAGUGAAGCCAUUCAAGUUACUGUCCUCCAAGCAGCAAAGAACAAAUGAAGCCAUUAUAGUGACAGUGCUCCAACCAGCAAAGAGCCAUGCUAAAGCUGUAACAAAAUCACGUCUUUGAAUAAAUA
rnacentral:lncRNA from 1 species